rnacentral:sRNA from 1 species
AUUGACGAGCUGGACCAAAUCUGCCAGCGCGACCGCUCAGAACUCGAUCUCAAACGUAAGAUCCUCGACGACUUGCGCCAUCUGGAAAGCGUCGUCGCGAAUAAGAUCAGUGAAAUCGAAGCCGAUCUGGACAAGCUUACCCGUAAGUAAGCUGUGUGUUGCCGGAUGGCGACGUGUUUACGCCUUAUCCGGCCUACAGGUAUAUCCCCGUAGGCCUGGUAAG